GUCUACGGCCACGCCACCCUGAACGUGCCCGAUCCCGGGUGAUCUCAGAAGCUAAGCAGGGUCCAGCCCGGUUAGUACUUGGAUGGGAGACCACCUAGGAAGACCAGGUGUGGAAGGAA
rnacentral:rRNA from 1 species